rnacentral:rRNA from 1 species
UUGACGGGGCCCGCACAAGCGGUGGAGCAUGUGGUUUAAUUCGAAGCAACGCGAAGAACCCUACCAGGUCUUGACAUCCCCUGACAACCCGAGAGAUCGGGCGUUCCCCUUCGGGGGACAGGGUGACAGGUGGUGCAUGGUUGUCGUCAGCUCGUGUCGUGAGAUGUUGGGUUAAGUCCCGCAACGAGCGCAACCCUCGACCUUAGUUGCCAGCAUUCAGUUGGGCACUCUAAGGUGACUGCCGGCUAAAAGUCGGAGGAAGUGGGGAUGACGUCAAAUCAUCAUGCCCCUUAUGACCUGGGCUACACACGUGCUACAAUGGGCGGUACAAAGGGUCGCGAACCCGCGAGGGGGAGCCAAUCCCAAAAAGCCGCUCUCAGUUCGGAUUGCAGGCUGCAACUCGCCUGCAUGAAGCCGGAAUCGCUAGUAAUCGCGGAUCAGCAUGCCGCGGUCGAAUACGUUCCCGGGCCUU